rnacentral:misc_RNA from 1 species
GAUGAAGAACGCAGCGAAAUGCGAUACUUGGUGUGAAUUGCAGAAUCCCGUGAACCAUCGAGUCUUUGAACGCAAGUUGCGCCCGAAGCCAUUAGGCCGAGGGCACGCCUGCCUGGGCGUCACACGUCGUUGCCCCCCCAUCUACUCCUUCGGGAUUGCGGGGGGCGGAUGAUGGCCUCUCGUGCGCCUCGUCGCGCGGUUGGCCUAAAUGCCAAGUCCUCGGCGACGCACGCCACGACAAUCGGUGGUUGCGAAACCUCGGUUGCCUGUCGUGUGCGGUCGUCGCGCAUCGAGGGCUCGAAAAAAUUGCCGGGCUUCGGCUCGACUUUCAACGCGACCCCAGGUCAGGCGGGGUUACCCGCUGAAUUUUAGCAUAUCAAUAAGCGGAGGA